UUCGGGAGCGUGGAGACAGUGUCGGUGCAUGGUUGUCGUCAGCUCGUGUCGUGAGAUGUUGGGUUAAGUCCCGCAACGAGCGCAACCCUAUCCCCAGUAGCCAGCAGUCGGGCUGGGCACUCUGAGGAGACUGCCAGGGAUAACCUGGAGGAAGGCGGGGAUGACGUCAAAUCAUCAUGCCCCUUAUGAUUUGGGCUACACACGUGCUACAAUGGCGUAAACAAAGGGAAGCGAGCCUGCGAAGGUAAGCAAAUCCCAAAAAUAACGUCCCAGUUCGGACUGCAGUCUGCAACUCGACUGCACGAAGCUGGAAUCGCUAGUAAUCGCGGAUCAGAAUGCCGCGGUGAAUACGUUCCCGGGCCUUGUACAC
rnacentral:rRNA from 1 species